rnacentral:rRNA from 1 species
CGAGCACGCGCGUGUGGCAUAUCAAUAAGCGGAGGAAAAGAAACUAACAAGGAUUCCCUUAGUAACGGCGAGUGAAGCGGGAAGAGCUCAAAUUUGAAAUCUUCAAGGUUCUACCUUGACGAAUUGUAGUUUAUAGAAGUGUUUUCUGUUAGUGGAGUGGCAAAAGUUCUUUGGAAUAGGACAUCAUAGAGGGUGAGAAUCCCGUAUUUGGUCAUUCUUUCUAGCUUUGUGAUACACUUUCAACGAGUCGGAUUGUUUGGGAAUGCAGUCCAAAAUGGGUGGUAAAUUUCAUCUAAAGCUAAAUAUUGGCGAGAGACCGAUAGCGAACAAGUACCGUGAGGGAAAGAUGAAAAGAACUUUGAAAAGAGAGUUAAACAGUACGUGAAAUUGUCAAAAGGGAAGCGUUUGACACCAGUGUUGUUUAGUUGAAAAUCAAUUAAAUAUUUUUCGAUUUUAAGUAGUAUUGACCUUAUCAGCUUGCUGCUUUUUUCUCGGAAAUUAUUUAAUGCACUUUUCAGUUAACAAGUCAACAUCAAUUUCUUUUGUUGUAAAAGGGUCAUUGAGGAAGGUGGCUUUCACUUUCGGAUGAAAGUGUUUAUAGCCUUGUGCCUUCUGCAAUCGGAGAGAUUGAGGUCCUGCAGCGUAGAUCCUUCGGGGUUAGAUACGUUUGUGCUAAGUUAUAGCUUUUCAUAGACAACUUGUUGACUAUGUUUAGUCUUGUAGCUUACUCGCUUACUGCUAUUUUACCUACGCUUAGGAUGUUGAACUCUAUCACACACAG